rnacentral:rRNA from 1 species
AAAGGGGCUUCGGCUCCGAGUAAAGUGGCGCACGGGUGAGUAACACGUGGGUAACCUGCCUCUAAGAUUGGGAUAACUCGUCGAAAGAUGAGCUAAUACCGGAUAAGACCACAGUUUCUGCGGGGACAGCGGUCAAAGGUAGCCUCUGCUUGCAAGCUAUCACUUAGAGAUGGGCCUGCGCACCAUUAGCUAGUUGGUAGGGUAACGGCCUACCAAGGCAAAGAUGGUUAGCUGGUCUGAGAGGAUGAUCAGCCACACUGGAACUGAGACACGGUCCAGACUCCUACGGGAGGCAGCAGUGGGGAAUAUUGCGCAAUGGGCGAAAGCCUGACGCAGCAACGCCGCGUGAGUGAUGAAGGCCUUCGGG